AGCAGCUUGGCUUAGUGGAAAGAGCCCGGGCUUGGGAGUCGGAGGUUGUGGGUUCUAAUCCCCCUUCUGCCG
rnacentral:tRNA from 1 species